UCAAGAAUAUUCCUCAAUGGCCGAAAGGCUGAAGGAGCGACGCCGCGUGUGUGAUGAAGCCCUUUGGGGUGUAAAGCACUUUUACAUGGGACGAACAAAUGACGGUACCAUGGGAAUAAGGGGCUGCUAAACUCGUGCCAGCAGCAGCGGUAAUACGAGUGCCCCGAGCGUUAUCCGGAUUUAUUGGGCGUAAAGCGUACGUAGACGGUUUGUAACAUCUCCUGUUAAAUCACAAGGCUCAACUUUGUGACUGCGGGAGAUAUGGAUAAACUAGAGACUGGGAGAGGUAAGCGGAAUUGCUGGUGUAGGGGUUAAAUCCGUUAAUAUCAGCAGGAACACCAAAAGCGAAGGCAGCUUACUGGAACAGUUCUGACGUUAAGGUACGAAAGCGUGGGUAGCG
rnacentral:rRNA from 1 species